rnacentral:rRNA from 1 species
AGGCAGCAAGCGUUGUUCGGAGUUACUGGGCGUAAAGGGUGUGUAGGCGGUUCCUUAAGUUUGGUGUGAAAUCUCCCGGCUUAACCGGGAGGGUGCGGUGAAUACUGAGGGACUAGAGUACGGGAGAGGAAAGUGGAAUUCCUGGUGUAGCGGUGAAAUGCGUAGAUAUCAGGAGGAACACCGGUGGUGUAGACGGCUUUCUGGACCGUAACUGACGCUGAGACACGAAAGCGUGGGUAGCAAACAGG